AAACUGCGAUAAGUAGCGUGAAUUGCAGACGCUUUGAACGUUAAACUUUCGAACGCACAUUGCGCCGUAGGAGUCCUACCCUACGGCACAUCUGGUUGAGGGUCGUGAUCAAAAACAGCCAGCAAGAUGCUGUUAGUAUACGCGAUUGGUGAAUCACGAGUUCUGCUUACCCGCACUCCGGUGGAACGUGUUUUGCCAUAAUGUAUCGGAGGACGAGGCUCGUGUCCUUUCGGGGGCGCGGCGCCUCGCCUGCCACACGGAUGGGCUAUUGGCUGAAGCAAUAGACUCCGGUCGCCAAGUAUCGUACUACGUGUAAAAGCGUAAAUGCUUGGUGGCGUCAGGGGUACAGCCGAUUUCACUAUACGUGCCUGGUGAAGACAGUCGAAUCGUUUUCCCGACC
rnacentral:misc_RNA from 1 species